UGUUAUGUGUGCAUUUGCUCGGCAUACGAUUAGGCCAUCCGACUGUCACAGAGACUCCCAGGGCUAGGGAUCUCAACCCGCCAAUCGAAUCCAACACACUAACAUUGAAAGGGGACUUUACUACAAUUGCUCUACUCUACGAUAUACAAAAUAGGAGUCAUCAUACAGGGAUCUCGGCGGAUCGAUCCCACACUCGCCCACCCUACCUGGAUCCAGUAUUUCCAUUUCUUGCGUUUCUCUGAAUCCCCUUGAACCACACGCUUCGAAUCACACACUUACUUCAUACCACCUUCCCCCCAAGCUAUACAAACUUAGCAACACAUAUUAGUAUCUACUGUUUACAAAAGAAUCAUUUUUAAUUUUAUUAAAAAAAAUAAGUUAGCUUUAAAUAUUUUCUUAAUUUUUUUCUCUACUAUUUUUUUUCUUACAUUAAAAUUGACAAACUGUAUGGUAUAAAAAAAAACAAAUUAAGAAUAAUACCGGGCUUUCUUAAAUCUAUGGCUUUAAUUACUCGGUAGAAACCAAUAUAUUAUCCUUUGCCUUGCUUUUCCCGCGCAAUAUUCCGCGUCUAUACGAAAUUACUAGCCACCUAAAAGAGCUCUCUUAACCGGCCUAAUUGCCGCUAAAAUUCCACGGCCUAAACUAUCAGAUCGAAUCACAAGGACUCAAGAUAAUUUUACUGUAACACCUCCUAGCCUUUGAAAAUAAACGCGGUAUUUUUCCCUUACAAACUGAUUAUUACUUAAAUCCUAAGAACUAUAACCUAUCUUAUUACUAAAUCUUUAUACUGAAUAUUAUAUUUUUUUUUUCUCGAAAUUUAUGAUUAUUAACUCUUUUUUUUUUCUUUUCUUUUAGUUCCAAAAAAGGAGACAGCAAAUUUUAUGGACGUCACAUAUAUAUAAAUAUAUAUAUCAAGGACAACACAACGUUUACGCUUCUUUCCGGAGGAAACAGAUUUUGAACGCCAGGCAAACCCUCAAAUGAAGCUGGACUUGUUGACUGGUCCUUUUACAAUGCCGGCGUUCUGGGCGGGAUCAAUAACCGGCACAGCAAAAAGCUCAAAGUUGCAGCUGGCCAGUUUACAAUUCAAAUCUCCACACCCUCAAUGUAACUUUUUUGGCUUUUUUUUCCUGUGGACAACUUGCCACUACCUUGCGUUACCAAAAAGAAAAGGCAAUUUCCCGCCGUUGUGCUGACCAAAACCGGACAAUUUUCGGUGCUUCCAAAAAAGGCUUGAUACACCACCGGAAUAUUCCUGUUGGAGCAACACACAUCACAUAUAACAACACAAUACUCAACAAACCACUGUUACAAACUACUUACACAAUAAAAAAAAAUCGCAACACACAAA